rnacentral:ncRNA from 23 species
AACUUAUCCAGAGAAGUUGAGGGAAUUGGCCCUGUGAAGCUUCAGCAACAGACUUUGUAAAGAAGUACUGUGCUUCGUCCAACAAGUAAUACUACUUGAAAGAUAGGUG